rnacentral:rRNA from 1 species
GGAAUCUUGCGCAAUGGGCGGAAGCCUGACGCAGCAACGCCGCGUGUGGGAAGACGGCCUUCGGGUUGUAAACCACUUUCAGGGGGGACGAAGCUUCCGAGGUUAAUAGCCUACGGGGUGACGGUACCCCCAGAAGAAGCCCCGGCUAACUACGUGCCCGCAGCCGCGGUAAUACGUAGGGGGCGAGCGUUGUCCGGAAUCAUUGGGCGUAAAGCGCGUGUAGGCGGCUCGAUAAGUCCGGUGUGAAACCUUGGGGCUCAACCCCAAGCCUGCACUGGAUACUGCCGAGCUAGAGUCCGGGAGGGGAGAGCGGAAUUCCUAGUGUAGCGGUGAAAUGCGCAGAUAUUAGGAAGAACACCGGUGGCGAAGGCGGCUCUCUGGAACGGUACUGACGCUGAGACGCGAAAGCGUGGGGAGCGAAC